CAUGCAAAAGGGUCAAAUCCCUAGCCGCCAACCUUCCCCGUCAAGCCUGCGGCCCCUCCGCCUCGUCUCCUCCCCGUCCCUCCUCUCCAACGCCGCCGCCCUCGAUGCGCCAUUAGGGCGCCGUCGACACGUCAGGGAUACACCGUGAUGGAGCUCAGCCCGAGCCCAGCAGAAGCCACUCCUAACCAUGUUCGCUCAAUUGACAAGAGAAGGGCAGCGGAUUGGAUCGAGGGCACCCGCAUGGCCUCGCCGCCGCUGUCACCUGGAUUCGCUAGCCGCCGCCUUGAGUCACACCCGUCGCCGCCACGAGUCAGCUCCAUCAUUGCUGCAAGGAAUCUCGUCCCCGGCAAGGAAAAUUCCUAGGGAUUUUAUUGACGGAGGCAUCACUAUCUGGUGCUGGAUUAUCCAUUUUUGCAGCACUAGCAAUGCUAUGUCGCUCAUGCCAAGCAUCGUUUCACAUUCAGGGGGGUUUACUCUCCCUCAACGUAAGCGUCGAUGCAAUGGAUAUUGAUUUUGGCUUGGGUGCAAAUUGAGUACAGACGACUUUCUAGUUUAGGCAUCAUUUCGAAAUUGUUUGGUGUCCAUAAAUUUCCCAAUGAGCUUGGCCUGCACCAUGCUGCCUCAUGUAGGAUUUUGGCGCUCGUGAUCUUCCUUGCUUAGCAAACUACUAUGGUUGCUGAUCCAUCACACUAUUGACCAUGAACUUUGUGCAUCUCUGAGGUUAUUUUGCAUGAGGAAACGGAAGGAUAUCUUUGUCGUCAACACAUCGGUGUCUAACGCUGCUUCCUGUGUCACUGCGCCAGCAAAGUGCAAGAACAAACAUUAAUGUAUCAGUGUAGAUAAUUGUAUCUUUAUUUUUUCAUUGAUUUAAGAUACUCACAUAUAUAUGGUUACCAAUGCUCUACAAUACCCAUAUAAUUGUUGGUUCUAAUUGGCUUCUCUACCAGAGAGUCAAGCCACAACUUUGACAAAUCUGCUAUCAUGUUCAGUAAAAAUACCAAGAAUGAUGUUCGGAAA